CAGGGUCUAAAACAGAUACGUGUACACCCAUGUUCAUAGCAGUGUUAUUCACAAUAGCCAAAUGGUAAAAGCAACCGAAGUGUCCACUGGGAUAAACAAAACGUGGUCUAUGCACACAGGGAAUAUUAUUCAACCUUGAAAAAGGAAGGAAAUUCUGACAUAUACUACAACAAAACAUUAUACCAAGCGGAAUGAGCUGGUCACAAAAAGAUACAUACUGUGUGAUUCCACUUACGUGAGGUCCCAAGAGGAGUCAACUCCAGAGACCAGAAGUAGAAUGGGGGCUGCCAGUGGCUGGGGGAGAGGGGAGUGGGGAGCCAGUGUUUGAUGGGGACAGCGUUUCAGUUUGGGAAGAUGAGAAAGUUCUGGGAAUGAAUACUGGUGAUGUUUACACAACACUGUGAAUCUACUUAGUGCUAUUGAACCGUACACUUAAAAACAGUUAAAAUGGUUAAAAGACAAAAGAACAGUCCUGGGGAAAUAAACCCCCAAGGACUCCUGACUGGUUUAAACGCGAGACGUGCCACGCUCCAUCAACCUCUCCUUCAGACAAGCGGCCUAUGAGGACGCAGCACUAAAGGGGGCGGGGGAGGGCCCUGGACAGGCGGGGCGGAGGCAGCACAGUGUGUAACCUUCCCUGAAUCUGCGCAUAAAAGCAGAUGCAGCAAUUAGAAAGCAAAGCCAAACACCCAGAGGCAACAUUUACCAUAAAUUUAGGUGAGAAAGUAUCACCACAAACCCAAGUUGUAAGCUAGGGGAUGAGCCACUGCCAGCAACAGGACCCGUGUGUUGCCGUCAUGCCGGGGACGUGGGGGGCACAGGGCCUCUGACAGAUGUGAGAACAGGAGGGCCUCAGAGGUGCCUACACGCCGGGACCAGCUGCCUACAGAACUGAGGACAGUCACCUGCUGAACAGGUUCACGGCCUAGGAGCAACAGGCUGCACCACAGACGAGCCUCCUCUUCCCUCCGGUGAGGCAUGGACAAUCAGACUUCUGGGCCAGGCCCACUGUGCCCCACCGCCUACUGGAGCCGUCCUUCACCGUGCCUCUAGCUGGAUGUAAUCAGGAACUCAGCGUGCACCACCUCACGUCUGGCUGUUUCUGCCUUUGUGAUGUCCGAGAGGUUCGUUCCUGUGGGUAUGCAUGGCUCCAGCUGCUCAUUUUCUUGGCCAUACAGAAUUCUUGUUAUAUACAUAUUUUAUGAUUCAUAAACGCUACUGUUGGUGAACAUUCCGGCUGUUUCUAGUUUCCUGGUUUGGAGUAAUGGUGUCAACACUUCUGCACACAGAUCACAACAUACCUGUGAACGUACCACGUCAGGCACAUUCCAGAGUGGAUGGCUGGGUCAUGGCGUCUGUGCACCUUCCAUUUAGUAACUGAUGUCAAAACAGUACACUGGAGUCCCCCUCCACGCAUUUGCACUCACAUUUGCUAUCGUGUCUUAUUUUAGCACCCAAGAGGGUGGUUUGUUAUGGGGUUCUAUUUCACUGUGGUUUUCACCUGCAUUUCCCCAGUGAAUGAGAUUAAGCAUCUUAUACCUUAACUGGCCCUUGUGCAUCCUCUUUUGUGAAGUGCUUGUCAAAUCUUUUGGUUGUUUUUCAAUGUCUUUUUCUUAUUGUUUUGUAGAAAUUCUUUAUAUAUUAAAGAUACAAGCCUUUGCCAGGAAUUUUUAAAGAACUUUCACACACAACAUGGAUUGCCUUUCUACUACCUUGAUGUUUCUUAACCAGAAGUUCUUAUUUUUACUAUAAUACACUCUAUCGGCAUUUUUCUUUAUGGUGAUUUAUUGUUUUUGUUGAUGUUUUAAAAAUUAUCCUAUUUCAUAGUCAUAAAAGACAUUUUCCUACAUUAUUUUCUACAGACUUUUUGCUUUUGCCUUUCAAACUGAGAUCUACAAUCUAUCUGAAACUGAUUUUUACAUAUGGUAUGCGGUAGAGGUCAGGAUUUAUUUUUCCCCAAAAUACUAGCUAAUUCUCCCAGUAUCAUUUAUUGAAAAACCGUCUUUCUCCACUGAAGUCUAGCUCUGUCAUAAACCAGAAGUCCCCCCAUACACGGACUUCUUUCUGAGCGCUCCAUUCUGCUCCACUGGUCUCUGGUCUAUUUAUCUGAUCUGGCGCUUGAUGCCAUGUAGUCUUAAUUACUGUAGCUUUAAAAGUUCCAAUUAUCUGGUACAGCAAAUCUUCCCAUCUUGUUCUUUUUCUUCAAGAACUGCUUUUUGACUGCGCGUUUUCAUAGAAAUUUCAAAUCAGCUUGUCAAAUUACACAUAAACAAACCCACUAUCUAUUGGGAUUUUUAAAUUGAGAUCACAUUCAAUAUAAAAAGCUAAGGAUAAAAUACUGUAUUCCAACCUAUAAAUGAAGUAUAUUUCUCCAUUUAUUCAGGUCUUCUUUCCUGUCUCUCGAUGAAUUACUAUUUUCUCUAUGGGAGUAUCACACAUCUUCAAUCCAAUUUAUUCUAGGUAUUUUGUAUUUUUGAAGAUACCGAAAGAUGACGUAGAUUUUACAUGUUACCGUUUUGCUGGUUGUUGCACUUGGUGUCCUGAAAUAGAACAGGUUUUUACUUGCAGGCCUUGGAUCCUGUAGUUUGGCUAACGUCACUAUUGAUUUGAAUAUUUUACCCAUAGGGUGGACUAGCUAUGAUCUCCUGUUUAAUACUGAAUAGAAACAGUCAUUUGGGUUUUGUUCUGUCUCAAAGAGAAGGUGGCUUACAAUUCCAGUAAGUAUAAUGUUUUCCAUAGGAAUUUUUUCCUUUUGGCCAGAUUAAGAACUGCCCCUCUUAUUCUUAGUUUUCUAUGAGUUUUUUUUUUUUUUUUUAAAUGAAGAAACAUUGAAUUUGAUCAAACCCAUCUUAUGCACUGGGAUGAUCCUUUUUUUCCUGUUGUUAACCAUGGUAAAUUAAUUACACCGAUUGACUCUGUAACAUUAAACGGAUCUUGCAUUCCUGGAUAUAACCAACUCUGUCAUGAUGUAUCAUCCUGGGCUUAUCGUCUUGGGUUUUUUGCUAAUGACUGGUCAGUUUCCUGAUACUGUGUGUAGGAUUUUUGCAUCUUAUAAUCAUCUUAUGCAUCUUCUGAGUCUUACAGCUGAGAGUGGCCUAUAAUUUUCCAUUCUCAAAUGUUCUUCCUUGGUUUUGUCAUGCAGCUUUUGCUGGCCUUAAAAACAAAUUGUGAAAUCUUUCUUCCUUUACUUCUCUGGAAGAGGAUGUUUAAAAUUGGGGAUUUUCCUUUUCAUUAGGAGUUUGGUAGGAUGUGCCAAUUAAGUCAUCCCAAACAGGAGUUGUCUCUUUGAGAAGAUUUUAAACUACAGGCUCAAAUUCUUAAGAGUUACAGAACUAUUAAGAUGUUCUAUUUCUUCAUGUGUCAGUUUUAGUAAAUUACAUUUUUCACAUACGUUGUCAAAUUUACUGGCAUAAAGCUCUUCAUACAUGACUUUUUUUUUUUUAAUGCUUCUGGCACCUAUUAUCUCGUCCCCCUUUUCAUCUACGUACGUUACUUGUGAUUUACCACAUUUACAAGUCUUUUCAAAUAACAAGCUUCUAGCUUUAUUGAUCCUUCCUAAUGACAACUUCUUUUCUAUUUAAUUAUUCUUGUAAAUUAGUGCUUCUUUAAAAAUAUUAAUUCCUUCCUUCUAUAUUCUUUUUCUAUUUCUUGAGAUGGAAGGCUUUGCUCACUGAUUUUCAGCCUUUCCUUCUUUCUAAAAUAUGCAUUUAAUAAGCUGAAUUCUACAAGCUUACAUAUAUUGUAUUUUCAUUAUUCAAGAUAUUUUCUAAUUUCCAUUGUAAUUUCUUUCUCAUCCCAAGGGUUACUUAGAGGUAUGCAAUAUCCACACAUAUCCCUAGUUAUCUUUUUGUUAUAUUCCUAGUUUAACUGUACUGUGGUCAGAAAACAUACUCUGUAUCAUUUCAAACCUCUGGAAAUUGUUGCAAUUUACUUAAUAGCCCAGUUUAUUGUCAAUUUUUAUUAAUGUUCUGUGCCUUUAAUAAAGUUUUUUUUUUUUUAAUUUUAAACACCAGGAGAGAACACGAACAUAGUCCCCCACUACCACAAAUUAUGCAGUCCAGUUUCCCACAUUUGGGAAAACCACAGGCGUCAGCACAUCCAGAAUGCAAUGGAUAAGCCCAGCUCUGGGAAAAUCACCUUCAUGAUGAUGGUAUCUCUCCUGCCAGGCUGUUCUGUGUUUUCUUUUGAAAAGAAUAUGUAUUCUUAAGCAUCGAAGGCAACAUUCUAAAUGUUCUCCUAGGCCAUUUGUUGUGCUGUCCAAAUCUUCUAUUUCCUCACUAAUUUUUCAUUGACUCAUUCCAUCAGUUACUACGAUGUGUGUGAAAAUUCCUCACUUUGAUCAUGGAUUUGUAUCUUUCUCUUUGUAGUUGCUUAUUUUUGCUUUAAAUACAUUGGGACUCUUCAACAAAUACAUAAAAACGUAAGUGUGACUGCCUUCUUGGUGAGAUAAGCCCUUUAUCAUUAUGAAAUGGUCCUCCUUAUCUGUAGAGUUCCUGUAUGCCUCAAAGCUGUUUUAGUUGUAUCUAUUUUAAACAAUAUGAACAGGUGAUAUUUAAAAAUCCAUCUGGGCCAGGCACGGUGGCUCCCGCCUGUAAUCCCAGCACUUUGGGAGGCUGAUGAGGCAAGGUGGUGUGUCCCCUGAAGUCAGGAGUUCAAAACCAGCCUGGCCAAUAUGGUGAAAUCCCGUCUCUACUAAAAAUACAAAAAUUAGCCGGGCAUGAGGCAUGAGAAUCGCUUGAACUCAGGAGACGGAGUUUGCUGUGAGCCAAGAUCGUGCCACUGCACUCCAUCCUGGGUGACAGAGUAAGACUCCAUCUCAAAAAACAAACAAACAAACAAACAAGUAGGAGUACACUCGAAAAUAAUAAAAAGUUGAGUAAAUAAGCUAGUAACAUAAGCCUUUAUAUUAUCAAGUAUUAUAUACUGCACAUAACUGGAUGCGCUAUGCUUUUUAUACGACUGGCAGUGCAGUAGGUUUGUCUGUGCCAGCAUCACCACACACAGGCAAUGUAUUGUGCUAUGACACUAUGAUGGCUGGGAUGUAGGAAUUUUUUAGCCCCAUUCUAACCUUACGGGACCACUGUUGUAUAAGCGGUCCACUGUUGACCGAAAUGUCAUUAUGUAGUGCAUGACUGUAGUUCAGUAAGCUUAAUGAUUAAGAGACAGUUACAUUAGGCCCUUUCAUUUACUUUUAUAACUUAUCUGAUAAGCGAGAAACACCUUAAGUUAUUAAUGAAGCCUUUAUCCCAAUCCUGUAGGUAGAAUAGAAAAAUGUUACAAGCAAAAACCAAAAUGACAUCUUAGUUUUUAACAGAGCAGCAUAAGAAAUUCUACGUUUAAUAUACAGUAUUAUGAAAUAACACGAAUGAACUGAACCUGGCAUUUACUGUCAAUUCAAAAUUGGAAAGGAAAAAACUCAAAAAGAAGAAAAUGAGUUACAAAAGGGAUUAAUAUGAAAAAAAUAAAAAUGUGAAAUGAAAUAAAGUGUUAAAUUGAAAAUUAAAAGGAAACCA
rnacentral:lncRNA from 1 species